CACGGGGGGAGCAAGCGUUGUUCGGAAUCACUGGGCGUAAAGGGCGUGUAGGCGGUUCGGUAAGUGGAAUGUGAAAUCCCUCGGCUCACCCGAGGACCUGCAUCCCAAACUGCCGAGCUAGAGUAUGGGAGAGGAUGAGGGAAUUCCUGGUGUAGCGGUGAAAUGCGUAGAUAUCAGGAGGAACACCAGUGGCGAAGGCGACUUUCUGGCCUGUUCUUGACGCUGAGGCGCGAAAGCUAGGGGAGCAAACGGG
rnacentral:rRNA from 1 species